GCCUCCCCAUCCCCUCAUUUCUCUCUCUCUCUCUCUCUCCUCCCCGCCGCCGCCCCUCCUUGCUCGCCUGUGCGCACCUCCCGGCUAGCCUCGAUGCCGACACGGGCUCCGCUUGACCGCCCACGCUCAAGCACGGCAAGCCGCGUAACCUCCGCAACAUGGAGGAGUCAGUCAUGGUGCCAUUGCGAAGUCCAGCUUGGCUGCGCAAGCAGCCGGCACGAGCGCGAACUCCAGCGCAGCCUUCAGCUCAAGAAGAGCGGCGAGCGUGGGUCGUAGCGCUAGAUCUGCUCGCUAAGAGCGCUUUUCGCGCGCAGCCUAGAGCAUCAAUGCCGUCUCUUCCUCUUGUCUCUUUGGCGAGUGACUCUGGUCUCGAUUCCCUCCCCGACUCCAGAUCUAGCCGUGAGGCUACAUCUGCCGUGGUAUACCUGUCUUUUGGAGACUGCGGCAGUGGAGCCGUCGAGUGCGGAGCUGAGAUCGACGAGAAGGAGCUGCCGACGGAGAUCCCGGCCAGGCCUCGCCCGGCGAGCGGUGGCCCUUCCUCCUUGCCCACGCCCACCUGCUGUAGCCCCCGUCGGCCGUCGCGCUAUGGAAGCAGGGGCGGUAUGCGGUCCGUGCAACAGACAGGAAGCAGAUGUGGUGGUACGGCAGUGGCCAGUGGGGAUCGGCAGCAAUUGGUGACGCAGUCCACCGUGCCGUUUCGAGGUGGCUAUGACGGACCAGGUUUCCGUUGAGAUUCGCCCAAGGAGUCCAUGUUGAUAGGCGUCGUCCUAUGGAAGGUAGCUGCCGUCCUGAUUUUGCCAAGUUCCGCCUUAAAGCUGCCCAGUUGCUAGAGCCUGGAGCCCACACCUCCUGUACUGCUCCUCCAUUGAAACUGUGGAUCGGUUGUGCUGAUGGAAUAUAUGGACAAGUGCUUCACAAUCUCACAUGGGCAAUCAGUUUGAAGGGAUGCAGGAAAAUAUAUCUGCUGUAGGAAAAGUGGUCGAAGGGAUGUAGGAGAAGGAUAUCUCCAAGGGUACGCACAAGUUAAUUUGCCAAGAGAAUCCCUUUAAUUCAACUAACAAACGAAGAAGCAAAAAGGUGGGGAAAAAACUUUGCUUCAAUGUAAUUCUUGCUCUGUCAUUAUUUCUCAGUUUUCAUUUUUAUAUGACUACUCCAAAUAAAGAUGUGCAACAGUCGAGCUCUGAAACAUAUUCAGUCUGAGGCAGUGGAUGUAAUGUGCUGGCGCUGCUGAACUCCUUCCCAAAUUGUGCACGCUUGGGUCUUUUAUUGUAACUGCAGUCUGUGUUCCCAAGCAUUGAGACCUGAACUUUGACACCAUGAGAAAAGAAACUUUAAGGGACUAGGCUUUUGGGAUAGAAUUAGUGGCAUAUCAGUUUGUUGUUCUGAAAUUACAAGCAUGCUGCAGUCCUUGCUUGAUUAUCUGUUUAUUUUAUUGAAGCUAUAUAUUUAUAUGCAAUGCAUCUUUCAAGGAAUAAUUUUCUGCAUACCUUGCUCUAUAAAAGUUGUGCUUGCUCCAUCAUUGGUGUUCUACAUGAUUAAUGUUGGAUUUCUCAAGUGCUUGAGAUAGCUGUUUGCUAAUUGGUGUGGUCUAGAAAGUUGAUUUCCCUAGGAUUUCAAUAUAUGAAUGAAUCAACUUGAUACCAUGCUCUUGCAAUCCAGUUAGAUUUAGUCAUUCAUUAACCUCCGAAUUUUAAGCUUUGAUCUUCAGUGCUAUGCAUCGAUGGAGACAGGCUCAUCAGUACACAUUAGAUUGAUCACAGAGUAGUCUUCUGUAAUCAUUUUCAUUUUGGGGGGACCAUGGAAAACUCUAGCUCGAUCAUACACAGGAAAGACAAUGUAAUUGAUUCUACAAUAGAAAGCAUCAGUGGCAAGAGGUUUAACUCUGAAGCUCAAUAUCAACAUAGGAUCUGAAGAUGUUCUGAAACUUUUUGCAGGUGCUGGUACAAAGAUACUUAUUUGAUUAUCCAAACCAACAAGCAAGCAAGCCGAUCACCAUUUCAUUUCCUUCCCCUCGGUGUCAUUUUUUGUUGUUUCUGCUUCCAACACAUGCAUGCUAGCUGUUCCUUGCUGCAUACAUCUGAACUUGCAUCAGUUGCCUUCUCUCUGAAUUUAGUAGAAACAAACUUGCACAAUGUGCCAUCUGCUCGAACUCAAACCUUUUUUUAUUGGUACCCUGUAUGUAAGACAUGGUUGGUCAAGUGCCAUAAAUUAUUAAAGCUUUUUACUUUUUCUGUACAGAAAAAACAAAUGGCUAGACAUUUGCAGUUUGGAGGAGAAUGAGAUGCCAUAACAAAAAAGGAAAAAAGAUGCAAAUUUAUGAUUGUGAUGGACAGAGUGGUAUUGCUGCCCUGUUUAUGAUCUGCAUUGCACUCUAUUCAUGAUCAUGAUUUGGUAGGAGUACAAAUAAGAAUAUAGUUUGUUUCAUGGACAGAGUGGUAUUGCUGCCCUGUUUAUGAUCUGCAUUGCUCUCUGAUCAUGAUGAUGAUUUGGUAGGAGUACAAAUAAGAAUAUAGUUUGUUUCUUAGACUGUAACACAAUGAAAACUUGGUUUCCAGGCAAUUGUGCCCAGAUGUUAAAUCAAAUUGUAUCUGCAAAAGGUUCUGUUUGAAUAGGAAACAAAGAGGUUAAAGAAAGCAACCAUUUAUUCAUUUUUUAGGAACGAGCAGAUGCAUCGAUUUUUCAUACUAAUUUGCUAGCUGUCUAUUCCCCAUUCACUAUAUAAAGUAGAUCGUUCAAUCUUAGCUAGCUAUUCGUUGGACUCUGAUUGCUACCUGCAGCAUGAACUGUCUCUAGAUCAAUAGGCGCAUAUUGUUAUGCUGUAGAGCAGUUUUCUCCGUUGUCUUUUCCUAUCUGCAUUUAGGGAUGAAAUUUAGUAGAUAUUUGCAUGCUUCAUUAUCUUAUUUAUGAUUUCACAUCGCUUCUUAUCCCUAUAAAUCUGACUGUCAUUGCUCCUGCUAGGGUCUGCAGCUACAGAAUGUAACCUUCUGUCACAGAAUCUAGGAUCUGAAUUUCAAGCAACCUGUUUAUCCAUGUGGUUUUCAUGUAGUCUAUGAUCAGGAUAAUUUCAUAGCUACAAGCAAAAGCCAUGCGAGUGAACCUCAAAUGCAGUCUCACACGGAGAAUUUCCUCAACAGUUAUAUGAUUUAUAUACUUAAUAUUAUCUUGAAUUUCCUCAACAGUCUUAUCUUGAACUCAGAUAUAUUUUAUGCCCAUCUUGAGUUAAAGAUGUGGUGAUGUGUGUGGUCCAA